GCUGAUCGACUUCGAGGUGCGCUCCCAGUUUGAAGGGCGGCCCAUGCCCCAGCUCACCUCCAUCAUCGUCAACCAGCUCAAGAAGAUCAUCAAGCGCAAGCACACCCUACCGAAUUACAAGAUCAGGUUGAAUUAAUAAAAGGAAAUUUACAAAGUGUUGGACUUACACUUCGUCUUGUCCAGUCAACUGAUGGGUAUGCUGGGCACGUCAUCAUUGAAACUGUGGCUCCAAACUCGCCUGCUGCAAUUGCAGAUCUUCAGCGGGGAGAUCGACUUAUUGCCAUUGGAG
rnacentral:sRNA from 1 species